rnacentral:rRNA from 1 species
GGCGUGCGUAACACAUGCAAGUCGAACGAGAAAUUCCGGGCUUGCUCGGGAGAGUAAAGUGGCGAACGGGUGAGUAACGCGUGGGUAACCUGCCCCUGAAUCUGGAAUAACUUCGCGAAAGCGAGGCUAAUACCGGAUAUUGUCCCAGGGACUGUGGUUCUUGUGAUGAAAGAUGACCUCUUCACGAAAGUUGUCGUUCAGGGAGGGGCCCGCGUACCAUUAGCUAGUUGGUAGGGUAAUGGCCUACCAAGGCGAUGAUGGUUAGCUGGUCUGAGAGGAUGACCAGCCACACUGGCACUGAAACACGGGCCAGACUCCUACGGGAGGCAGCAGUGAGGAAUUUUGCGCAAUAGGGGAAACCCUGACGCAGCAACGCCGCGUGAGUGAAGAAGGCCCUCGGGUCGUAAAGCUCUGUCAAGUGGGAAAAAAGCUUGUUGGUGAAUAGCCAGCAAGACUGAUGGUACCAUUGAAGGAAGCACCGGCUAACUCCGUGCCAGCAGCC